AAGACUAUACUUUCAGGGAUCAUUUCUAAAGUUAUUGACUUGAGAAAUGUGUUUCUACACUGUAUGGUCUCGCUUACCACGAUGAUGAGUUGCUGAUACUCCUUCUUGAGCAUGAAGUGGGUAGAAAGAGAUGAUUUGUUUCAUGUACUCUCUACCAAUGAUGACUGUUCACUGUUGAUUCAGAGACAGUGGAAGGUUGGAGUAUGAUCAGAGUGGA